GUCUAUAGCCAUACCACCCUGAACGCGCCCGAUCUCGUCUGAUCUCGGAAGCUAAGCAGGGUCGGGCCUCGUUAGUACUUGGAUGGGAAAACUGGGAAACUAAACACU
rnacentral:rRNA from 1 species